rnacentral:sRNA from 1 species
UCCUGGGUGCCUAACCACCAAUCUCCUCCAUCUUGGUAAGAGAAUGUGCAUUAGUAAGGGAUAUUCUUCUGGCCUUGGUCUGAUUCGAACCUGUGAUAGCAUGUUGGCACACCCUGUAGCAGUCGCGCUUACACGGGCUCAUAACCUAUUAGGCCACUAGGGCAAAAGAGCUCGAUCACCACCAGCAGGGAAAGAUUCGUUGCCUUGCUAGGAGUAAAUGGUCAGCCAGUGAAAGCGUUACUCAGCAUUGUUGAGAGCACUGCGAAGGAAUUAUAAACCACCAGCCACAGAUUUGCUCGUUAGCUGGCCUCCUAGCUCCUCUCUGGUGCCCUGGCGCUCCAGACUUCCCGCGCUACCUGGGGCCAAUGGCCCAGAGCGAGAGAUCUGGGAAGAUGCUGAACCGAGGGUUAAGCUCAGGCCGACGCAUUGUAUGGUGGAUUUCGAUGAUUAUUGAGCAACCGUCUUGUCCAUGUGUUUGAUUGAGAGCAAUGUUAUCCACGCGGUUGAAAAAAAAAUAAAAAUAAAAAAUUGGAU